UACGAAGGGGGCUAGCGUUGCUCGGAAUCACUGGGCGUAAAGCGCACGUAGGCGGGACGGUGCGUCGGUGCUGAAAGCGCCAGGCUUAACCUGGCGAGGCGUGCCGAUACGACCGACCUCGAGGCAGACAGAGGGUGGCGGAAUUCCGGGUGUAGUGGUGAAAUGCGUAGAGAUCCGGAGGAACGCCGGUGGCGAAAGCGGCCACCUGGGUCUGACCUGACGCUGAGGUGCGAAAGCGUGGGGAGCAAACCGG
rnacentral:rRNA from 1 species